AUCCUACGGAGGCAGCAGUAGGGAAUAUUGCUCAAUGGGGGAAACCCUGAAGCAGCAACGCCGCGUGGAGGAUGAAGGUUUUCGGAUUGUAAACUCCUUUUGUUAGAGAAGAUAUUGACGGUAUCUAACGAAUAAGCACCGGCUAACUCCGUGCCAGCAGCCGCGGUAAUACGGAGUGUGCAAGCGUUACUCUGAAUCACUGUGCGUAAAGAGCGCGUAGGCGGGAUAGCAAGUCAGUUGUUAAAUCCUAUGGCUUAUCCAUAGAACUGC
rnacentral:rRNA from 1 species